UACUAGGCCAAUACUAUUUUAAGUCCCGAUAAGCCCCGCAAUAUUUUGCCAGACAUUUUCUGCUCCAGUUUUGUUUCGUACAAACAUAUUUUUGCAACAUCAUGCCCCAAGUCUCCAGACCCCAACCCAAACCCAAACCACAAAUUACAAAGUAAAAUGCAAAGAAAUCGACAUUCACCGUCUGUAAUUUCAAGUGUUUGGCAUUGACAAUUUUUCGUUCCGAUUUUCAGGCAUAUCCAUGCCCGUCCCAUUGUUGAGGAAAUUGUGAAAACGCCAGGGAAUUGGGCAAGCAAAUUUCGUUUGUAUUUACCUCGACUUGGAGUACCUCGAAGAUGGAAAAGAUUUCGAGAGACAGUUAAUUAAACCGAAGUCAAGAUUGAGAGGGGAGGAGGGGACCCCGGCCUGAGGUGAUUGCCAAUUUUGUGGGAUGGUUUUGAUUGGCGAGACAAACAAGCGGCGACAGUGAAAGACAGAAACAAACUUCAAAUGUCGCAAUUUUGGCGGCGCCUUAAAUGUGACACGAAAAGCGACUAAACUCGGAUGCGUACCCGUUGGAAUCACUCGAAUGACUCACUGACCAACUGGGGAAUAUCGAAAUCGCUGCACUUGUCUCUCGCUUGGCUCUUAUCUUAUCGCCGACACAAGCGAAACAUGGCCAAAAUGAAGUGGAAAACUUAUCGCCCUUCCUCUGAUAAGACCCAACAGAUAGCUGAUGGAAUGACAGACCGUAUGUACCAUAUGUACCAUACGCAUGUAUGUAGCUGUGCAACGGGAAUGAGGUAAGCAGUUGUAGAAAUGCACCGAAAUUCACUCACUUCCACGAGGUAGAUCCCAGAUUGUGUGGAGUCAAAAUUAUUAGGCCAUAAAUACUUGCGGCAAAAUGUGACGCCCACUGCGCAUGCGCACACAUCUGAGACGAUGAAAUGGGGCAGACAGGGUAUGCCUGUAUAUACGGCUGCUAGAGAUACAUUAUCUUUCUCUGGGUACGACACUGAGUGGGCUUUUGACUUUCUGUUUGGCCGAUCUCUUGUCGAGUCAACAAAGCUUACACACAGAAAAGAGAAAAGGCUAAGGAAGCUACACCGAAUGUGGCAGCGGAGAAGAAUGCUGGUGCUGCGGACUGGGGAGAAGGUGCCAUCACAAGAAGGCUUUAACAAUUAGUCACCGUUGCGCAUUGAGCGCUUACAGAGCUCACUGAAAGAAGAUGGAGAAUACAACAAGGUGAAGGAUUAGCACUCCAGUCCGCCAGUAGAGCUCUAAAUAUCUACCUGUCCAUACCUCUCGGACAAAUCCAGCAACGAUUCUGCAAUUUUUCACAUUCUAAUUGCUCGUCAUCUCAUUAACCACAAUUCUUUUGUCUCCCCAGCCCACACCUCUAAACCCCCCCUCCCUCCUCUCCCUUGCCCGAAGAGCUGCCGGCUAAGAGGUUUUUAAUUAUGCUGCCUCCGCUAA
rnacentral:sRNA from 1 species